UUCCUUACACACAAAAAAUGUUUGUGUAUGUAUGAAUGUAUGCAUCUUUCUAUAUAUAAAGAUAUCUAUAUCUAUAUAACUACACAAACUAUAGAACAUUAAUGACAAUCAAUCAUCCCCAAGGUUAUUGCUUUUAAUGUCACACACUUCGGGAAACAUGUACAUCUCUACCAGCGUUAGCUUGUUUGAAUAGAAAAAAUAUACCAACAGCAGAGAUAAAGCCAAUUUAUAAUUAUUACAAAACCAUUGCAUCAAUAAAGCGAUCAGUUCAUCAAACCACAGGGACAGCCGUGGCCGGUUAUGAAUGUGACUGUGUGCCUGUUGACGUCCAGAAGAUAUCUCACCCUCGCUGGGUCAGUGAUGUUAUUAUGAUCUAUUGAUCUCCUGCUCCUCCCCCUCUAUUUAUGCAUAGAUCAGGUAGUACCUCAAUGUAAGGGAACACACAUUUGAAGCCUAAAAAGAUUCCUCUUUUGCAAAGCUCAAAGUCUGCCGUGUGCUGAACAUCACGUCAUCGUUCUGGGGUGUUCUGCUUCUCGGUGGUCCAGCCCAGGCUCAGUGGGGGGCUUACGGCCAGCUCUUUCACACGCUGCCUUCUGUGAAGUCUCUUCUGGUUAUGUUUCUGUAUUAAAAUACAGAAGCAUUACUGCAUGAGAAACAAGUUCAAACUGAGCGGGACCCCUUCUGGUGACAUGGUGUGAGCUUCGGGAGGCUAAACCUGGACUCUUCCCACACAACAAACAGAACGCUGCUGUUUGCUCUGCCUGCGGGGGGGGAGGGGGGGGGGGGCUGGAGCCCCUGCUCUACGGUAAGGGAACACAAGAAGGAGCCAGAUGCUUUAUGGGAAGAGAACACCAUUCACCCCCGCUGACGGGGAGCCGUCAGAAUGCCAGAGGCUCUUUGUGACAUUCCCCACAUUUCACCGGUCAG
ensembl:lncRNA